rnacentral:piRNA from 1 species
UCAAGUACUGUAUACCAUUUUUGCUC